CUCGCGGACGACCAUCGCCCUCCAGCUUCCGCCUCAUCAGCUCCGCUUCUCCUACAAGGGAGCUGGCGCACUCCGUUGACCACCACUCGGCUUUGCCUUUGCGGUUCUUUUUUCUUUCGUCACUUGCCGGUGGAAAGGGCAUCGUUGAGUGUACGCGUAUGCUUAAGUGUGUCCCUGCUGUUGACCUACGCCCUUUGCCUCUCGCUCUCUCCUCGCCUCACGCUCCCUCUAUUGUCGUGCGGGUGGCCACACAGAGAGUCCCUCCUCCUUUCUUGAGGGGGUGUGAGUGGCAACGAGGCGAAGCAACGGCAACGGCUCAAACACGCAUCUUUGUGUGCCACUGCCUUUCUGCCCCAAUCGAGAUCACCAAAGAGGUCUCUUCGUACCUCGCGCCGAAUCGGCUCACAUCGUCUGCUCGUUUGUGUGUGUGUGUGUGUGACGCCGCGAUCACUAGUACGCUUCUUUGCACAUCUCUUCUUCUCCCUCUCCCUUGCGCGGCCCUGCUUCCUCAUAUCUUUUCCCUUUGUAUAGAUUCAUGUAAUUCUCCGAUGCCGUUGCUGGCAAGCAGAGGGGGCGACGAAUGAAACCGAGAGUAGCCGCAGCACCGACGUUGGCGGCGCUCUGCUGGUCGUCUAAAGCUGCAAGAUGUGCAGGAGGUGCCACUCUAAAGUGGCGGGCAGCGCGUCAAGUUUGCCGCGAUCCUUAUGAGGCCUUCGCGCCGAUGCGCCGCACCUACGCAUCGGCGAGCUAUGUAUCUAUUGCCUGCCGUGAGGCACGGCCAUUGCAUCUGGGUCACGGACGGCCGAGAGCAGCGGCGCGGUCGCGCCCGUUUUUAUCUCCGCGUGUGCUUCCGCCGCGUGAGUCGCUCGAGGAGGCGCUGCGUACCUCCGCGCCGCUCUGCUUGUCCACCGCAGUAGCGUCGAUGGCUACACGACUGCGACGUAACCACAUCGUGGCUUCCUGCCCGCGUCUUUUUGCGGAAGAGAUGUGCAGCUUCGCGUCCACAGUCUCCGGAGUAGCUGCGUCCUCGCCAACGGAGCAGCAUGCGCGAGCGUUGGCACUGUUGAGUGAACUGCAGAAUGCUGCCGGCUCCGCCACCGCGUCAGCGCCUCUUGCACCGCCGGCAGAGGUGCCUGCGGAGACGUCUCUCUGGAGGAGCUACAUGCAUCCUUUCGCAAGACUCCUGUGCAACAAAAUCCACGUCAGCGUCUCGACCGACAUUACAACGCCGUUGUCGUCGGCCUUGCUCACCAACGGCAGAUGGGAUGAGACGCUUCUCGACUGCGUCUGCCAGCUUGCUUCGUGGCCGGACGCCGAUGCGGCGGGAACAGUUGCGCAGUGGAUGGCGUCGCUGGUGCAGAGCUGCGCGCUGAGGAAGAGCUCCCGUCUUGUCUCGUCGCUAUCUGAAAUGGAGUUGAUGGUGCGACGCGUAGUGGAGGCGUCAUCGCCAGCGCUGCUGUGCGCGGUGGUGCAGGCAUGCCAGGUGCGCACUCGUCGCAUGGAUAGCGCGACGGGCGACAGUGGAGCACGGCUCAGGAGUGCAGUCACUGCCCUCUACGCAUCACAAGCGGAGGAGGACUUGCAUGGCGGCUGUCGGUGGCAUCCCUGCAUGAGCGAUAGGGCGAUCAAGAUGUCUCUGCAGCAGAUCGUGGAGGUUCUUUCCGGCUCCGCGAGUGGCAGACGAAAAGGUAAGGCAGGCAGCGCAUCUGCUUUUACUCCCGCGGCACGCCUCCAGAUUCAGCAAUGCUGUCUAUGUCAAAUUCCACGCCACAUGGACGACCGCACUCGCCACGAUUGCGCCGUGCUCGCCAUGAAAGCCCUCAAGCAGGCACCCUUCACCGUUCUGUUGGCUGCCUACGAAUACUUCCGCGAGGAGGGACUUGCCUCGGCGGUGGUGGCGCAGCGCUUCCUCGCGCACUGUGGCGUGUGCGUCACCCAUGUCACCCAGCGCGGUGUCUCACUGGCGACAUACCUCUCGCCUGUGGCAACCAAGGCAGCGGUCGAGGCACUCCUGCACGCACACUGUACUGUGCUGAGCACCGGCUGUGACUCGAGGCAGAUGGAGACAUCGAUGUCGUACCUCACUGCCACGCUGAACGCACUCGGCUACCCACAUGUCGUGCGCUCUCUCUACAAAGCGCCUCAGCCGACGGUGACAACUACGCCAGACCCCGAACUCCGUGAGACGCCGCACUCUGUCGUGUCGCAGGUGCUGCUGCGCGACGUAUUCGGGGCCGUGGUUGCUCUGGAGGCCCUCGGCGCCUCCCGUCCAGAAGGUUGGUUAUCGGUGCCACCAGCCGCCACGGAGUCCAUGGCAGCUGUGAGUCGGCUGGUGGGACAGGAGGGCAGCGUUGCUGACGUGAAGAGAUUAUACGCGGCCCUCGUCGGGUUUCACAAUGCGGGGUUGUUUAUCAGCUACUACGUGGAGUGCGUGCUGGCUGGCGUGUGCGAUCGCAUGCGCGAUAUCGGGAGGCAACAGCGGCACGCACGGGAAAACGCGAGCAAGGUGCCUAGCGCGCCUCCUCACGAGAUCCUGGAGCGCGUCAUCCCGGCCUUCCGCGCGACCUUGUGCUACAUUGGUGACGAGCUCAACGCAGACAUAAUUUUUGAGCUUGUUGAAACAGCGGUGCAGCUACGCGACUACGCGGUGCCACUGACAGCUGCUCUCGUCUCGGCUCUCCACGCGAGUAUGGAGCGAAGUCUCUGUCUGCACGAGCUGCUGUGCCGGGUGGACGCCUCAACCCACAACAUGCCGUUUCUCUCCUACUACGCCCUGUGCUACACCAGAGACUUUGGCUCACCUGCCACGUUUGAUCACCUCGCCGCCCUCUGGCGCGUUGACGGCGACGCCAUUUGGAAUCGAGCAACCCACCUUUCCCCGUCGUGCCAGCUGUGGAAGUGUGCCACUUGCGGCCGACUGAACAGCGAUCGCUACAACUACUGUGUGUGCUCAGCGCUGCGAUACAGCCACGUGUUGUGUGGUGCCUGCGGCUACGCGCAGGACGAACGGCUGAGCCAGUGCUGCAGCUGUGGUCAGACGCUGCUGAACAAGGCGUCGUUGGCCGGGGCGGUGGCCCGCACGGCGUGGCAGUGUCGAGACUGCGGGGCCCGCAAUCCAGCUAGGCAGACGUUGCUGUGCUUCCGUUGCGGACAGCCAACAGGGCCGUGCAUCCAGCAGCACGCCGCCGCAGAAGCCACCGAAUCUGAGGGCUCGGCGGCGUCUACAUCAGUGGUGUGCGGGUGCUGUUUUAGCCGUGGCUGCGACAAAAACCAGAGACGCGGUGCCGCAGCAGCUGCCACGUGGAGAGCAGCCGUGUACGCGGCCGCCGUCGGUGUCUGUCACGAGUGCGGCCGCUUCAAGAUGAACCAUGCCGCGCGGCACAGCCUCGUGUGGAUAUGCGCAGGCUGCCAUCAGCGGCGCAGCUCGCUGGAGCGCAUUUGCCCCUCAUGCCCGCAGGUGGAGUGUCUCCCGCAGGCUUUGUGCCGAGGGCCAGUGAACGUACCGCGCGUGUGCCGCCACUGCGGUCACGAGGAAGUGAAUCCGUUCGCGAUGUUGUGUCGGUGUUGCGGCAGCACCGCGGAUCCUUUCGUUCACCCCGGUGACUCCGCAGAAGCCACGUGUAUGCCGGGGCGAGUGUCCGCUGCUAGCGUUCACGCGAGCCCCACGUCCCCCGAGGCGGUGCCGAGCCAACAGCAGCGCCAAGUGUACCACUGGUGCCUCUACUGUCACCACAUGCAAGGGCUGGACAACGCCGCGCCGCUCCACCAGCAGCACUGCAGCGGAUGCGCGGCAAACUGUGAGGAGAAAGGCCUGUGCUUGCUGUCUUUGCGCGUCUGUGGCGGCUGCGGCGCGAGCUUACCGGCUCGCUACGCGGGUAGCGCCGUGUGCCCAUACUGCGCCGCUUACGUGAAACUGGUACCGCAGCCGCAAAAAUGCGACAGUGGCAGCGCAAAACGGUACUGGACUGCUGUCGUGCUGCUUCACACAUGCGAAGUGCUUGCAGAAUGCUGUGCCAAAGAAUCGCUGCUCACGGAGAGAUCGACCCACGCUAUGCCGACAGCGCUUGUGUCGACGACACAGAAGACUUGGGCAUCUGAUAGCGGCGUCUCUACCGGCUCCGCAGCGACUACAGUCGACGCGAGUACUCGGGCAUACCUUCAGAGGCGCCCGACCAUAGAGAGGACCCUGUCCUGCCUGCGGCGCGAGUGGUGCAGCGUGGACGGUGAUGCUUGGCUGCCUGUGCGCAUGGACGUCGUCGCGCUGCUGGGGCGAGCCGUCAACACACUGUGCCAGUGGCUCUCCGCAUCCCUCACGGCGCGCCGUCUCUCCGCCCUCCUGAAGGGCAUCCUUACGCAUGUCGACUGUGUGUGUGGGGUGGCGGUGACAGGCUCCCAAGACGCCUUCAGCCGCAGCGCGCAGGGCCACUUCACCGCUGUCGAGGUGUGUCACGAGUGUCUCGGCACCCACCCACCUAAUCUGUGUCCUUUUUUGGAGGACGGUGGCUUGUGGACGUGUGAGGAGUGUGGCUCGUCCAACAGCAACUCAGACGUGUGCCGCUAUGUGUGUGGCAGCUGCCUCGCCUUGCGGCCAAUGACGCAGGACCUGCUCGUCUCGACCUGCUGGGAGUGUCGCGCGUGCGAUCGGGCUAAUGUCCAGUUUGAGCGCUACUGUAUGCACUGCGGCGCUGAGCGAGCAGCGUGGAGUAGGGCGAUGCUGCCUCACUGGGAUUCUGCUGGCGACGGCGCGUUGACGGGCGACGUAGAUGGUGACGAUGGAUUCCACUCACCCGCUGCCGCAGGUACCGGAGAACUCGACCCCCGCGGCGAAUCAACGCACCAAAUCAACGGACUGGCAACAGGGAAGCGGCGCGGAGACGCACAGGGGCAUUGUGUAGGGCUGCUGAAUUUGAAGGUCGAUGAGCAGACACUAUCGCCGAGCUUCUCUGCUGCGCUGUCCUGUGAGGCAUCAAACGCUUCCCAGCUAGACACCCUCGCCGCCAGCUCCGCUGGUACGGCUGCGCCGGUCCGCGGCGACGAGAUUCCCUUCAGCCCCGCCAAGUGCCCUCUGUGCGGGCUCGUCUACAUCGAAGCACGGUGCCCGCUCUGCCUCAAACACACCCCUGACGUCGCCGGUGCGAGAGGAACAGUGUGCGAAGUGCAGGAUCGCUGCGCUUUCAUUCAGCCCAGCGGCACCACCCGCCCGCAGGAUCGCAUCUUUGUAGAUGAGGCCCUGCUGAAGGCAAACACACUUAAAGAGGGGCUACUUGUGCACUACACUGCCGAGCUCGGCCAGCGCGGUAGGAUGGAGGCGAGGUUCUUGCGGUGCUGAAUCUGCCCUUCUCCCUCUCCCUCUCCCUCACCCCCCCCCACGGGCUGCAGUGUUUACAUCAACGAGCGGUGCACUUCAAAGACGGCCGGUGAAAACGAGGUGCGGCAGCAAAGCGGAAGAGCUGGAGCGUUUUCGCGCUCAUCAGCGCAGAUUUUUGUCCGCACCCACACACGCGCGAAAGGAUUAAGUGAGAGAGGUGAGGGAUGCGAGGAGAGGAGGGAUGAGGCGGCUUGAUUGCGCGCAUCGGCAAUCCGCGUCUGCUGGCGUAUGUGCAUCUGCAUGCAAGUGCGCGUGUAGGUGUGCACCUCAUGCACGAAGUCUUUGGUGCUGCGGCCGCUUGUACUCAACGGCGGACGCUCU
rnacentral:misc_RNA from 1 species